rnacentral:rRNA from 1 species
UUGACCUCAAAUCAGGUAGGACUACCCGCUGAACUUAAGCAAUAUCAUA